rfam:Oryza rufipogon genomic scaffold, chr10
AAUAAGUGUAGUUUUACACUAUUCACGUUCAACGUUUGACCGUUCGUCUUAUUUGAAAAUUUUAUAUGAUUAGUAUUUUUAUUGCUAUUAGAUGAUAAAACAUGACUAGUACUUUAUGUGUGACUAAAUAUUUUUAAAUUUUUCAUAAAUUUUUCAAAUAAGACGGACGGUCAAAUAUUGGGCACGGAUUUUAGGACGGAGAUAGU